UGGGGAAUAUUGCACAAUGGGCGAAAGCCUGAUGCAGCGACGCCGCGUGAGGGAUGACGGCCUUCGGGUUGUAAACCUCUUUCAGCAGGGACGAAGCGCAAGUGACGGUACCUGCAGAAGAAGCACCGGCUAACUACGUGCCAGCAGCCGCGGUAAUACGUAGGGUGCAAGCGUUGUCCGGAAUUACUGGGCGUAAAGAGUUCGUAGGCGGUUUGUCGCGUCGUUUGUGAAAACCAGCAGCUCAACUGCUGGCUUGCAGGCGAUACGGGCAGACUUGAGUACUGCAGGGGAGACUGGAAUUCAUGGUGUAGCGGUGAAAUGCGCAGAUAUCAGGAGGAACACCGGUGGCGAAGGCGGGUCUCUGGGCAGUAACUGACGCUGAGGAACGAAAGCGUGGGUAGCGAACAGG
rnacentral:rRNA from 1 species